rnacentral:rRNA from 1 species
UACGUAGGGGGCAAGCGUUGUCCGGAUUUAUUGGGCGUAAAGAGCGUGUAGGCGGUUUGGUAGGUCCGCUGUGAAAUCUCGAGGCUCAACCUCGAGCUGUCGGUGGAAACUGUCUGGCUAGAGUCCGGAAGAGGAGAGUGGAAUUCCUGGUGUAGCGGUGAAAUGCGCAGAUAUCAGGAAGAACACCCGUGGCGAAGGCGGCUCUCUGGAAAGCAACUGACGCUGAGACGCGAAAGCGUGGGGAGCAAACAGG